rnacentral:sRNA from 1 species
UCCAAUCCUGGCGACCUCGGCAACAAGC